CGGAGGAAAAGAAACUAACAAGGAUUCCCCUAGUAACGGCGAGUGAAGCGGGAAGAGCUCAACAUUGUAAUCUGGCUGCUUCGCAGUCCGAGUUGUAGUCUAUAGAAGCAUGAUCCGCGCCGGCCCUUGGGCAUGUCUGUUGGAACGCAGUGUCAAAGAGGGUGAAAAUCCCGUACAUACCAAGGACGACCGUGUGCAUUGUGGUCUGCUCUCUAAGAGUCGAGUUGUUUGGGAAUGCAGCUCUAAUUGGGUGGUAAAUUCCAUCUAAAGCUAAAUAUCGACGAGAGACCGAUAGCGAACAAGUACAGUAAUGGAAAGAUGAAAAGUAGCCUGCAGAGGCAAUGAAACAAUACGUGAAACCGUUUGUAGGGAAGCGAUGGAACCUUUUCACGCUGCGAGGGUUCAGCUUGGCUUCGGCUUAGUGUAUUCCCUCGUUUUGCGGACCAGCAUCAGUUUGCUUCGCAGUAUAAGGGUGAUUGGAACGUGGCUUCUCCGGAAGUGUUAUAGCCUUUCACUGGAUGCUGUGUCGCAGACUGAGGACUGCAGUGCGCCGUAAGGCAUGGUCUUCGGGCCACGAGCACUUAGGAUGCUGGGCGAAUGGGUUUCAACGACCCGUCU
rnacentral:rRNA from 1 species